rnacentral:rRNA from 1 species
UACGUAGGGGGCAAGCGUUGUCCGGAAUCAUUGGGCGUAAAGAGCGUGUAGGCGGCCAGAAAAGUCCGCUGUGAAAACUCGAGGCUCAACUUCGAGCUGUCGGUGGAAACUUUCUGGCUAGAGUCCGGAAGAGGAGACUGGAAUUCCUGGUGUAGCGGUGAAAUGCGCAGAUAUCAGGAGGAACACCGGUGGCGAAGGCGGGUCUCUGGGCCGAUACUGACGCUGAGGAGCGAAAGCGUGGGGAGCGAACAGG